rnacentral:tRNA from 1 species
GGCAAGAUGGCCGAGCGGUUAAGGCGCUAGCUUCAGGUCCCUGAAUAUAAAUUCCUAGAAUUUGCUAGUGUGGAAACACGCGUGGGUUCGAGUCCCACUCUUGUCA